AGUGAACGCUGGCGGUAGGCCUAACACAUGCAAGUCGAACGGCAGCACAGGAGAGCUUGCUCUCUGGGUGGCGAGUGGCGGACGGGUGAGGAAUACAUCGGAAUCUACUCUGUCGUGGGGGAUAACGUAGGGAAACUUACGCUAAUACCGCAUACGACCUACGGGUGAAAGCAGGGGAUCUUCGGACCUUGCGCGAUUGAAUGAGCCGAUGUCGGAUUAGCUAGUUGGCGGGGUAAAGGCCCACCAAGGCGACGAUCCGUAGCUGGUCUGAGAGGAUGAUCAGCCACACUGGAACUGAGACACGGUCCAGACUCCUACGGGAGGCAGC
rnacentral:rRNA from 1 species